UCUUUCAUGAUUGUUAUCCCACGUAUUUUUUAUCUUUCUCAUAUUAUCUAAUGAUUCUCCCUCCCACGAUUCAUUAAAACUGAAAAAUUCUACUUGAUACUCUGUUCAUCAACCACUACUUCUCUCGAGAAUUUCAGUAUUUAAAAUUCUUUUGUUCAAUCACUUCUCUUGCCGAAGAAAAAAUUUGCAACUCUUUUGAUCAACCACUUCUCUCUGCCUCACGCCGCCAGCCACCAUCCGGCGACGCCACGCCGCUAGACAGCACCCGCAGCAGCCCACACUUCUCCUCAUAGGCCGCCGCAUCAACAAUCCCUUAAAAGCUGCAGAGGCAGAAGUAACGCGUGAUCGAGCCACAUAAUAAAUGAAUCGCAUAAAUCCUCUUCUCGAUUUUUUCUAUCCGAGAAAAUCGUGGCGGCGAAGGAGACCGAAUCAUUCAGCUCAAAUACUCAAUCCUAUACAGAUUCAGAAACUGAAGAAACCUAACAUCCAACACAAUGAGGGAGCUUCGCCACAUAUAUUCGUCGUUUCUCAUACCUCUGUUGACGUUUUCUUCGCCAUAUUAGUUAAUUGGUUCUUGUCGUGGUUUCCGAGAAAGGCCUCAAAUCAGCGGCUGUGGAGUUAGUCAUGACUUCUGUCAAGUUGGCGCCUGAUGUAUGUCGAUGGUGAAAAGCACUCUGUUGUUCGAUUUGAUUCCACACCUGCGAAAAAGAAAAGUACUGCGCGAUGAUGAGCAAAAGGCACGACAGCUGCAGCGGUGAAGGGCGGGAAGAAGAAGGGGGUUAGCUUCGUGAUCGAUUGCUCGAAGCCGGUGGAGAAUAAGAUCGUGGAAUCGCUUCGCUAGAGAAGUUUCUGCAUGAGAGAAUUAAGGUCGGCGGCUGUUUCACAAGAAUGAAGCUCAGCUUCUUUACCAGCUCGUCAGUUUCUUUCAUGUCUCCAUUAUUAGGUCCUCUUUUUGCUUAACUCAUUCAGAUUUUGGUUUUGUUAAUUGUGUUAUCAGGCAAACAGUGAAAUGUUUCCACAUAUUUUGUUGAAAGGGCCGCCUGGUACUGGUAAGAAGGCACUUACUAAUUCACUAUGGCUCUUCUCCGUGAGCUAUAUGGUGGAAUAUAUCUCAUGACUUGCGGUACUUUCAUAUUUUGAAGGCCAAUGCAAGUAGUGGUUCCUGUAAGUUCAAGUCAUCACCAUGUUAGCGGUUCCUGUGAGUUCGAGUCCUCACCAACAAGAUCACCAUCAUCUCCAAUUCCACCUUCUCCACAACGUAUUUGAAGUAUUUGACAAAGAAAUACUUGAAGAAGCAUAAUGUGCGAGAUUUGCUUUGUGUGAUUUCUUCCAACAAAGAAAGAAAUGUGUAUGAAUUGCGCUACUUCAACACUGCUGAGCAAGAGGGCGAGGAGGGGGAUUAAAUAGAGAGAUUAAUUUCAUAUUCAUUUUAUGCUCUUAAAUUUUUGAGUUGUUUGUUCUAUUUUUCUAAGAUUUUUGAGGUUGCUUAUGAUAUUGAAUUUUGAUGUGGUCUUUUGCUAAUUUUUA